ensembl:snRNA U6 U6 spliceosomal RNA
GUGUCCCCACUUUGACAGCCCAUAUGCUGUAACUGGAAGGAUGCAGAGAAGAUCAGCAUGACCCCAGGGCAAGGAUGGCAUGUAAAUCUAUGAAUGGUCCUAUGGUUGC